CCUACGGGAGGCAGCAGUAAGGAAUAUUGGUCAAUGGACGAAAGUCUGAACCAGCCAUGCCGCGUGAAGGAUGACGGCCCUCUGGGUUGUAAACUUCUUUUAUAGGGGACGAAAAAAGGGUAUUCUUACUCACUUGACGGUACCCUAGGAAUAAGCACCGGCUAACUCCGUGCCAGCAGCCGCGGUAAUACGGAGGGUGCAAGCGUUAUCCGGAUUCACUGGGUUUAAAGGGUGCGUAGGUGGGUCUAUAAGUCAGUGGUGAAAUCUCCGAGCUUAACUCGGAAACUGCCAUUGAUACUAUAGGCCUUGAAUUAUCUGGAGGUAAGCGGAAUAUGUCAUGUAGCGGUGAAAUGCUUAGAUAUGACAUAGAACACCAAUUGCGAAGGCAGCUUACUACGGAUAUAUUGACACUGAGGCACGAAAGCGUGGGGAUCAAACAGGAUUAGAUACCCUGGUAGUCCACGCCCUAAACUAUGGAUACUCGACANACANCGAUACACUGUUGUGUCUGAGNGAAGACGAUAAGUAUACCACCGACGGAGGACGACCGAACGAGUAGUUAAGUUACUAAUUAGAAGUAGAGGCGNGAGAGNGCGACGGACGACGACGAGGGAGGAGG
rnacentral:rRNA from 1 species